GGUAUCUCUUGCAACUGGGAAAUUUGAGUGUGGGAAGGGGAAAGGAGUAGGGACAUCCAUCCUCCAAUGAACUCUCCACCCUCUUUGGCAAGCACUUUUGGUUCCCAAAUUCCAGCUGCAAACUAAGCGCACAGUUUCUGUUCCUUCUUUGUUGUUAAGCAGUGCGCCAGUGGUUGAGACAUUGAAACUUUUUUAGACUGUCCACAGGACUUUACAGUGGGAUAAGUUCUGUUAAGCUUUGUUAAUUCAUUGUGACACUUACUCAUUGUCGAUAUCAUCAGCACAAUUGCCAGGCAGAUCUCCCACUGGGGAGAAGUCUCUUCCUUCCUAAUAUAGCUGCUGCAGGGGUAUAAGAUCUGGCCGACCAGUUUACAUCUACAUAUGAGACAUGCAGAGAAACAGUUGCAAAAUGUCUAUCUUCCCUCAACAAGUGAGAAGAGGAGCUCUAAGCAUUAAAGAGGAGGAAGAACUCUUGGUGAUCCAAAAUUGCUGGAUAAAGCCCUUUGGACUCUCUUCUAACUCACAAACUCAUCAGAAAGAUCCAAUCUGUACCCUACCUGCCUGCGUGCUGGUUCUUUUCCUGUGGCCUCAAGAGGUUUUGCAGAUACUGAGGCUGCAAUCAGUCACUUACAAAGAAAGCACAGUCUCAGGCAUGAGCCAGAUUCCCAGAGAAGGCAACAUCCUUCAAGGUCUGUAUUAUCACAGGAAGCAACCAUCAACAUUGUCCAGAGAUUUCGAUAAAAAGCCCAUGCUUCUGCACAAAGAUUGUCUCAUGAAUCAGAGGAUCAUGUCCUUUGCAUGUAUGAUAUGGUUCUUAGAACAGAGUUAUAUAGGUAAGGCAUUUGCAUGGUGGGAAACUUCUUUAAUGGCAAAAGUCUCUGUAUGCCAGCAGAUACCAGGCUUCAAGAGUUUUGUUAAAUUAAUAAGCUUUAACAUUGUUGAAAGAUUCUGAAAAGUAAUUGUAAUCAUAACAUAAUUUUGGUUUAAAUUUUCAAGCCUUCUAUUUUCUACUGUAUUCAUGACAGAACUAAAUUGGCAACAAAUCAAAUAAAUGAUGUUAGAAUUAUUAAUAUAAAUCUAGAAACCUGACCAAAUUACACUGAACAUUCUGGUGCUGAGUUAGUUUUCUCACCCAUCAGCAAAAAGAAAACAGGAUUUGACUAUAGGGAUAAGAAGAAAAAAAGACAACGAGGAGAGGAACCACACAUCAUGAGAUGCCCAACUGGACCUUUCUUUAAGGAGACUGAGAGCUAUUCUAAGAGCUAUUUACAGACCUCUACUCUGGUUUCUUAAUAAAGACACUGACCACCUUGCUUUCCAGUUCCUGCCCAGUUUGGGAUUAUUAAAUCACAAAAGUAUGUCCUUCUCCUGCUGGUAGCCACAGAGGUCUUCUCCUGGUCACUUCCCUGCCUCAAGCUGCUGCUCUAGUGGCUGCUCUAGCCAGCUGUCCUACUCCUGCUCCUGUCUCUUGCUAUAGCAGCUCCAGUACUGCUGCCUCAUCCGGAUGACAGUUGUCACUCUUCUAUCAGUGUCUCCCACUUCAGCAAAGAGUAUGUGGCUGUGCAUGUGCACAUUUGUACUCAAGUACACUCCUGCUUUUUCAACUUGGAUUCUCAUCUAGCAGUAGCCCCUUAAAGUCUGCUAUGCAUUUUCUUUUGACUUCUGUGCUUUACUUCUGUAAAACCUACUGAGAUCUUUUACUCUCAGCAUUCUUAACUCAAGCACUUAAUCCAUACCAUUACAUGGUUAUCUGUUUCCUCCAUUAUGUGGAUGGUUACUCUACUCUACUCAAGUAGAAAGCCUUCUGAAUGAAUAAACGCUUACGUGCAAAUUGAACUUGUACUUCUGUACCUUGUUCCCUUCUACCUGUCUUAUUCUCUCCACCAAAUAUCAAUGGAGAGCUCUUCAUCUCAGAACUUCCAUCUCCCACACAGGAGCCAGGGAGCUGCUCUCUCGAUCACGUCCUGGUGCCAAAGCCCGUAUCUGUUUGACAGAACAAAAAGUGGCCUUGUCAUAUGCUAGGGAUGUAUUCUCUGUUCUCUUCAGUACACUGCUAAUUGUUAAAAACCUUGAAGAAAAUUGUAAUAAUUCAGAUGUAACUUUUGCUCAUAUUACUGUUCUCAGAGAGAGCAAAAAAGUAAAAUUUCAAGGGAAAGGGGUGUUUGGGAUAAAAAACUGCGAUUUUCAAGACCCAUGUUUCUGAAAAAUGUAUUUCUUCUGUCAGAGUUCUAGGACUUAAGAUGAAAGAUCAUUACUAACUAGGAUAAGUGCCUUUUUAUAUAAAGAAAUGUUUUUAGAGUAACUAGAAGAUAACAGCAAAAAUAAAACAGGAGUGUGCCUAUUGACUUAAGUUGUAUAGCUUGCUCAUGGGAAAGGGCUCCUUUAGUCUGUGUACCCACAUUUCAUGUUUCUAUAGCAGAAUUGGAGAACAGAAAGGAAGAAACUAGGAGCAGCAGAAGAGUCAAGAACCCUACAGUCAUGUCUUGGGUUGAAAGGGACCUUAAAACCCAUCUAGUUCCAACCCAUUGCUAUGGGCAGGGUUGCCUCCCUCUAGAUCAGGUUGCCCAGGGUCUAGUUCAAUCUGGCCUUGAGCACCUCCAAGGAUGAGUCAUCCUCAGCUUCUCUGGGUAGCCUGUGCCAGUGCCUCACCACCCUUACCAUGAAGGAUUUCUUCCUUAUAUCUAAUCUAAACAUACCCUUUCAGUGUAAAACCAUUACCCCUUGUCCUAUCACUACAUCAUGGUUGUCAGGGUAUUCAUAAUUGUGGAAAAGCCUCUUCCUGAAUUCAUUUCUCCAUAUGCUCCAUCCACAAUAUACAGGAAGGCGCUUGAUUUAAGCUUCGGGAAGGGAGGCUGGUAUGCCAGUGCUAGGGGUGAAAUAAAGCAUGGUGUACAGGAUCAACACUACCCCUGUCUGGUUCUUCUUAAAAAGUCUAUAUUUAUCCUAGCUUCUCUCAAUUUUACCAAGUUCAUUGGCUCCUAUAAAAUGCUGAGUCUGCAAGAGACACUGCCAAGUUCCAGUUACUUUUAUAGUCUGAGAUGAGUUUGGUUGUUAUUUGUUAUUAGUUUUUGUUUUUGUUUUUGUUUUUAAUUUGUAGGCCUUUUCUCAUUAACCUUCUUGUUUUUCAUUGCACAGUCUAGAUGGGGGUUUCCACUGAGAGAGUAUACGAAGAUGAAAGAGGAAGAAUUGCUAUGGGAAGAGGUUUUAUUAAAAAUACAGCUGAAGGUUUUUUCAUCAUAUCUUUGAGUAAACAUUAGUGGGAUAGUGACAGAAGAUGUGUCACUGGAUUUAUUUACUGUAAGACAGUUCUGCCGAGUAAAGUACCAUAUGAAAGCAGCAUGUGUUUUUUUAAUAUAAUGUAAAGAGUAACUUAUUACAGUGACUUUAUUUUCUUCUUGUUUGAUGGAUUGUUGCCAUUUAUUACCACCGAGUAAUGAAACCUAUACUGUGUUUUACACGACAGUAGAAUGUCUUGGGCAGCAUUAAUCAGCCUCACGAAGUGUUCAAGAGAAAUAAUGAAAGAAAGAACUGGCAUGCAAGGCAAGUGCCUUCCAGUUUGUCUCCUGCAACCUUCCUUCCUCUGAAACAUUCAUCAUCUUCCUCUUAGUUUGCCAGGAUCUAAAAUCAGGCAGAUAUUUUCUUAUUAAUAUUGAGGCAGGGCACUGAGAGCUGCCAUCACAUCUUUCUUUAGCUGAGAGAAAAUUACCUCAGCUUAAGCUCAACUACCUCCUGCUAUUUGUAAGUCUAGGGCUUCACAAGCUGUGUUACUUGGCUUGUAUGCUAUGUGCACCUUGAUGAUUCUCCAUGUUUUAUCAUAACUGAUUGUAUACAUAUUCUUAAAGCACGAGAGAGUCUGCAGGCUGGGAUAGAAUCUCAGUCCCAAAUGGAUCAGAAUCUAGGAGGUAAGAGGUGUGCUAGUGUAUCUAAAGGGAUAAGAGACAGCCAAGAAAUACAAGAUACAAAAACAAGGCUACCAAGGAGCUUAGUUCAUGGAGCAAUGAAUGUAUUUGCUGAGGACUUCACAUCCUUUUGGAUAGAAUAUCCGGGGACUGGUUGUCAGCAUACAAGGUGAAUCAAAAUGUGAAUCCUUUCAAGAGUUUGCAUAGAAACCAUGGAAUCUAAUGAGUCAGAAAUAGAGAUGCUCAAGGCACUCCAUUUUGUACUGUCAGAUCUUUUCUUUCUCAGAACUCUCAAGAGUUUUUGCUGUCUAUCAGUUGAACAUAAGGAACGUUUUUACUGCUAAGGAACAGGUAAAGCAAUUUGCUGGCAGAGGCUUUGCCUCUUGUUCUGUCCAGAUAAUGCCAGGGCAUAGAUCACUCUGAGCAAUUACAAUCAUCAGUAACAGAAUUUAGAAAUCACACUUUUGCUGUUAAACACUUGCCAUUACAUUAUAUGACUUCUACAAUGCAGAUCUUUCAUUUGGUACAACAUCAACAUCUUCCUCCUUAGCUAUGACUCCUGCCCUUUCCUCGUCAGUCUGGUUCACCGAAUUGCUAGUUGAUGAACAAAUACUCUGUGCAUGACAACAGAAGGUUAUGCUUUACUGUGUGUUCAUUACAGCCCUUAACCAGUAGCUGAAAGCGUAGUAAAAAAGAUAUCAAGAAAUUUUGUUUUCUGACGGACAUUUUUAUUUUGAUGGGGG
ensembl:lncRNA